ensembl:lncRNA
GUUGGCUGGAGUUGUUAAGUGGAGCUGCUGGGGCCACCUUCACUCCAAGGCGGGGAGAAGCCUGCCUGAGAAUGAAGCUGAGACAGGAGAGAGUUGAAAGAUGGACUGUCUCUUUCCUCCAGACUUUGUUUUUUCAAUGCUCCCAUGUGACAGGAACUUGGAAGUUUCACAGCUGAGCACAAGGAAAUAGAGGCUAACAUAGACCUGAUUUGGACUUUGGAAGCAGGCUUUUCUAGAAUCCUCAGAGCUCCAGCACUUCAGAGCUGUGUGACCUCAAUUUGGCCGAGCAGCAUGUGGGAUCUUAGUUCCCCAACCAGGGAUUGAACUGGUGCCCCCUGCAUUGGAAGCAUGGAAUCUUAACCCCUGGACAACCAGGGAAGUCCCACCACAUUUGUUUGUGGUGGUGACUACAUGAUGGAGUAUGUUCAUCCAAAAUCAUGAAACAAUACACUAAAAGGAGAGAACUUUAGGAAAGAUUUCCACCUCACCGGUUCCACUGAGAGAGACACAACCAGCGGAGCAGAGACUUCAAACUUGAAUGCCUACAGGAACCAGGCAGGUCAUGGAAUUAACAAAGCACGCUGCGAACAGUAGGGUGUGGUGGGGACUGGGGAAAACUGGAGAGCCAGGCUGGGUCUAAAGGGCAUUGUCCCUCCUCAGCUCCAGCUUCUACUGUUAUGGAACUGGAAAGAGCCCAGUAUUGCCAGAUCUUCUGAUAGUUCAGGAAGAUUCUAACACCCUCACAUUUAUAUGAAAUGUCAUGAUUUUUUCAAUGUUAGCAAGUAAGUCAAAAUUUAAAAAAACUUGUUUAGAUAUUAGUUUUUACUGUUGUAAAGGCAUGUUCAUCCUUUUCUUUUCACCCCAAGUACAUACAAGACACAGAAGCAGAAAAGCUGUAUUUAGUGAAAUAAGGCAACAUCUGAAGCCUCAAACCACCAUAUACAGAGUAGACAGGAGAGGUCUUCCCCGGUGGUCCAGUGGUUAAGAAUUCCUUGGGAGGUGGGGGGCGAGGUGGGGGCCGGGCAGGAAGAAUCCGCCUGCCAGUGCAGGGGACACAGGUUUGAUCCCUGGUCCCCGAAGAUCCCACUGCCAUGGAUCAAGUAAGCCGGUGCACAAGAGAAGCCGCUGCAACCAGAAGUCCGGGCACCACAACUAGAGAGGAGCCCCCGCACCCUGCAACUAGAGAAAGCCUGCACACAGCUUCGAGGACCCAGUGCAAACAAAAAUAAAAUAAAUCCAUUUUUUUUAAUUAAAAAAAAAAGAAUUAAUCAAGUAUGAUCAGACCCGUAGGUAGGUAUUUUAAUAAGAAAAGAUAAUGGGGUUUGGUUAAAAAAGUCU